rnacentral:sRNA from 1 species
CUCUUUCGGCCGCGCUGGUGAACAGCCCAGCUCAACAUUGGCAAUGUGCUCCCUGUGGGCACCAUGCCUGAGGGUACAAUCGUGUGCUGCCUGGAGGAGAAGCCUGGAGACCGUGGCAAGCUGGCCCGGGCAUCAGGCAACUAUGCCACUGUUAUCUCCCAUAACCCUGAGACCAAGAAGACCCGUGUGAAGCUGCCCUCCGGCUCCAAGAAGGUUAUCUCCUCAGCCAACAGAGCUGUGGUUGGUGUGGUGGCUGGAGGCGGCCGAAUUGACAAACCCAUCUUGAAGGCUGGCCGGGCGUACCACAAAUAUAAGGCAAAGAGGAACUGCUGGCCACGAGUACGGGGUGUGGCCAUGAAUCCUGUGGAGCAUCCUUUUGGAGGUGGCAACCACCAGCACAUCGGCAAGCCCUCCACCAUCCGCAGAGAUGCCCCUGCUGGCCGCAAAGUGGGUCUCAUUGCUGCCCGCCGGACUGGACGUCUCCGGGGAACCAAGACUGUGCAGGAGAAAGAGAACUAGUGCUGAGGGCCUCAAUAAAGUUUGUGUUUAUGCCACC